rnacentral:lncRNA from 1 species
GAAAUAAUCCCAAAUGCUCUCAGUGUGCUUGGGCUUCAAAUGGCUUUUAGGUGAUAGGAAGAAUGAUGAGUUUAUGCUUGGUAUUUGCACCCUGCAAAGAACAGGCAGGAAAACUGCUGGACACAGGGGUAGACCCAUGGAGGAGCCACUGCAGGGCUCUGGCCUUGUUUGCCACGCUCACCUCUUUAUUUUUGUUUUAAAUUUCCUUUCCCUGGAAUUACUUAUGCUUGAUUGUUGCGAUUGAUUGCAAUUGUGAGAGCUAAUUUUAGUGCAUCAAUCUGACAGUGGAAGGCUGCCAAGUGUUUGUGUAAUGGAGGAGAACAACUGUGCACGGGGUUUGGUGUGGGGUGUGCUUGUCUUCCUUUCUGCAGCCAAACACCAGCAGCCAAUCCAUGGGCUGAUCAAUAGGAAUAUUUUAUAUAUUGGGAAUAUUUGUGCAUAGCCCGUUUUCUCCAACAUGAAAAUCCAGCCUGCUGUGGAAGCAGGAGAGCAGUUUACAGAGGACAGGAUGAUUUUAUUGCCAGGAUGAAGUGGCCAUUGCCUUAGUUUUAAGGAGCCACGUGGGACAGCCAAUGUUUCCCUCUGGUCCCGAUUGCUGCUGUGCCAGCCCCAUGUUUGCAUCCCAUAUUGAGCUGUUCUGUUCCAAGGUGUGUGUGCAGCAUCUUGGCUUUGCUUUGGCCAGCGUGGAUAGGAGAUUUCAUCCUGUUUUGUGUUGUUUUGCUCUUCUCCACAUAAGUACAACUCAGGGGCCUUUGCUGUCCAUCACACAAUGCUGGUUUUGCUCAGCUGUGAGUGGCUUUGGGCGCCUCUGAGGGUGUCAAUAUCCUGUGUGUUUAAUGCUUCAGUGCAGCGAGUCCAGAAGCUUGUGAUACCUAUUUUUAGUGCUGAAAAGUUUUGACAGCUCCAGUGAAGCUCCAUUAUCCAUCCCUUGACAGCCUCGUCAGCAGCGUGCAGCUUGUCACUCUCGCUCAGAGCUGCUUUUCCCAGUGAAAUUCAAACUAUUGGCAGGGAUGGGGUGCAAGUGUGUCAGAACUCAGCGUGGAAAUGACAGCAGCUACUGCCUAGUUUAAAAAAAUAUGUGAGAGGAGGUGUUUG